rnacentral:rRNA from 1 species
GAUGAACGCUAGCUACAGGCUUAACACAUGCAAGUCGAGGGGCAGCGGGAUUGAAGCUUGCUUCAAUUGCCGGCGACCGGCGCACGGGUGAGUAACGCGUAUCCAACCUUCCGUACACUCAGGGAUAGCCUUUCGAAAGAAAGAUUAAUACCUGAUGGUAUGAUGAGAUUGCAUGAUAGCAUCAUUAAAGAUUUAUCGGUGUACGAUGGGGAUGCGUUCCAUUAGGUAGUAGGCGGGGUAACGGCCCACCUAGCCUACGAUGGAUAGGGGUUCUGAGAGGAAGGCCCCCCCACAUUGGAACUGAGACACGGUCCAAACUCCUACGGGAGGCAGCAGUGGGGAAUAUUGGUCAAUGGGGGAAACCCUGAUGCAGCGACGCCGCGUGAGUGAUGAAGUAUUUCGGUAUGUAAAACUCUAUCAGCAGGGAAGAUAAUGACGGUACCUGACUAAGAAGCACCGGCUAAAUACGUG